GGAGAAGAGAAGAGAGGAGAGCAGCAGCGUGCUGCCCGCACCAGGCGCCCCUUCGCAUAUUUCACCGGGAAUUUACGAGCCUCGAUACGACAGGGAAAUUGCAAGAAUGGCGGAGUAAUCUAUCUCUCCUUGCCUCCGUGGGCUCUCUCUUCUUUUCCCAGCACCCUGCUCCUCCUCUUCUCGAACCCCCCCCCCCCCUCUUCUCUUGGACGCGCUCUUACGCGCACCCACUUCUUCCCUUUCGCAAGGAACGAAGAAAAUUCCGCUAUCUCCCUCUCGCAAGAUAAAAGAGAUUUGUCCCGCGUCCUGGUAUAUACCGCGAACCACCUAAUUGUGUUAUCGAGAUAACCGGUCGAUCCGUUAUCCGCCGCCGAAGGAUUCCGAGUCAGGACACGGAGUUUGCAAAGAAUUCUUACCGAUCCUUGGAGAGUCGUAAAUGUUCAUAGUUGUCGCUGGCUAUGCGCCUCUGAAUAAUCGAUGCUCUCCACGAUGUGAAAUAAAGGAAGAAUGGAGAGGAAGGGAGGUAGGGGAUACGGUAGUAGUAAAUAGUGUAGAAGAUGGCGCUUUGACUUUUAACUGUUCCCCCUUUGUUCUCACUUUUGCACAAACUUGCAAAUGGAAAUUGAUACUCUCAUAUUGCAGGUGAAUUGUUUCAAGAAAGAAAGAAAGGAAGGAAAAACAAGGAUGGAUGUAGAUCUCUAGCAAAAGAGGAUUGUUUCAAGAAAGAAAGAAAGGAAGGAAAAGGAAGGAUGGAUGUAGAUUUCUAGCAAAAGAAGAUUGUUUCAAGAAAGAAAGAAAGGAAGGAAAAGGAAGGAUGGAUGUAGAUUUCUAGAAAAAAAGAAUUGGAAUGGAAAGAGUGUUCAAAAGGGACAGGUGGAGGUAAUGGUUGGAGAUUUUGGUUUGUGUAUCGAGAGAACUCUUUGCUGGAACAGGGGUUACAAAGCCAUUGAUAAGUUAAUUAAUUGCAGGGAUGUAUCUGGGUAAGCGACGUGUAAAUCACCGACCGGUCAAAACAGUAGGGAAUGGUAACACGUGCUUUGACCCCCUUAUUGCGCAAUAAUUGCGUGGAAGAGCGGUAGGGGUAGGUGGCACGCUUUCCAUCGCCAUUUUCCAUCCUUCAGUUAGGUUGAGUAACGGCUGAUACGUUGGCGAACGCAAUUGCGCGAGAUAGAUUGGGUUUAUGCAUCCUUCCGAAAGAAGAGGAACGAGUUGGAGUUAUUGGACGAAGGGAACGAAUUCUCUCAUCUGCUAUAUAUUCUUGACAAAAGAAGAAUACCAAGAAAUAGUAGAACAAAUAUAUAAUUCAGAAUAUAACAAAGGUAUUACCCGAACAAGCCUCUCAUUCCGUUUCUGCAUAAUUCCAUGGAAAUCCGUAAGCCAAGUCGGAUAUCUUCUACCAUAGAGACGCGCGCACACACAUAACCCUCCAACUUUAACUUGCUUCACCGAGAGAAUUCAACGCCAAGAAAAGGAGUAUAUCCACCGAUACGUCGGCGGAAAUAAUUACGCGUAACCGUAGCUCGGUUUCCUCGAGUUCUACGUGUCUGAGAGUGUGUAGUACUCUCGCCGAAGGAGGGAGGGUGGUCAAAAGGGAGGGUUUGGUGGGAGGGGCGGCGAAAAUACUAUAGGUAACGGUGUACUUGGGUGUACAUGGGUGGUAAUACAUAGGGGAAGGGAGACCCUACUCGUGGCACGGGUUAGCUAUAUCCACGUUAACGUACUGUAGCGUGGCCGCGGCCGCCGCUCGGUUUAAUUUAACACAGCAGCUGUAAUCCCAUCCAUUACGGGCCGCGGUAAUAUACGAUCGCUCGAGAUUCAUACUCCGUUUUUUCACUAAUUAACAGACGGGACAAAUCGCUCCGCCGAUUCACCUCUUCCCUCCCCCCUCCCCCCUCCGCCCCCCGUUCGGCCGACCAUCCCACCGGAAAAACGGCAUGCGCGGGGGCCCCUCUCUUCAUUCUACUCUUGUCCAACGAAACGCUUUGUUCCUUCGCGCGGUAAAAUUUACCUGGCUGUUUUACCCCGAGUUUCAUUCGGCCCAUCAUUCUGCCCAACAGUGUUCGCUUCCUGUUCGUUUUGGUUACGUGUCUGGUUUUUGGAUACCGGGGUACCCGGUUAAAUCUCUUUGAACGGUAUUUGGGUCUGGUCAGGGAACAGUCUUGGAUAGAUAUUUGGAGUAUAAAAAUUAUGUAAUGAAAAAUGUUUAUAGUUUUGUAUUGUAUGUAAAUCUUUAAAAAUUUAUGUAUAUCGUUGACAACAAUUGAUUUCUAAGAGUCAUUCAAAAAUUUAUGCAUCUAUUAGUAUCCUUUCAAUUUUUCCCUGAUCGUUUCAUUAUUAUGUCGUCUUAAACGGUAUUUAAAUUAUGAAUGUAAAAAUUGUCGAAUCAUUCAAAUGGUAAAAAAGAUUGGAUUAGAUUAAGAAGAAGAAAAAGUUCGUGAAUUGGUUCGAUCAAAGAUCGAUUAAACUGCUACCGUAAUAUCAUUUAUUAUUCUUGUAUCGUGUUUCUAAUUACACAAGGGCGCACCCACAAAUCACGAAAUUCUUCCUUCCCCUUUCGAGUCGGUCGGUAAUGGAGUGGUUUCUCGGGCCGCAGAAACGUUCUAAUUUUACCGACCGAGCGAUUGAUUAACGUUAAUUAUUUCUUUCGAAAGCGGGUUUUUACGAGGCGAUCGGUGGCCCGCCGCGCUCGUCACGCCUCCCGUAUUGACGGAAGAGUUAUUACUUCAUAGCAUUCCCGGGCUGGUUCAUACUGUAGCCCACGCCACCGGAUUGCUAUGCUCGCGCGGAAUGAUCGAUCGAUGAUCCUUAAUUAUUCCUCUCGACAGGCGAGAAAAACGAUCGCCAUUGCGACGAUAAGGAACUCUGUUGAUACAUUCCACUCCAAAUAUACGUAUAUUAUACUAAUCUCUAUGUAGCAAUAGUAUAUUGUUGCAUUUCAGAUAUCAAAUUGUAAAUAAAUUUAAUUCUGAUUCUAUCUUACUUAAUUGAUUCGUAUUAUAUUAUAUUGAAAUUUAUAGAGUAAUAUUUAUAGA